AAAUCGUACCCCAAACCGACACAGGUGGUCAGGUAGAGAAUACCAAGGCGCUUGAGAGAACUCGGGUGAAGGAACUAGGCAAAAUGGUGCCGUAACUUCGGGAGAAGGCACGCUGAUAUGUAGGUGAGGUCCCUCGCGGAUGGAGCUGAAAUCAGUCGAAGAUACCAGCUGGCUGCAACUGUUUAUUAAAAACACAGCACUGUGCAAACACGAAAGUGGACGUAUACGGUGUGACGCCUGCCCGGUGCCGGAAGGUUAAUUGAUGGG
rnacentral:rRNA from 1 species